AUAGGCUGCAGCACCCCCCACGACCCUCGUGAGGAUAAACGGUAGAAAAUGAAUGAAUGAAUGAAUAAUCCUUGCCUUUCCGUCUCUGGCAGACUGGACUACUGUAACAACUUUCUCACCGGGCUCUUCAACGAGCUGUAAAACUGAAGAAAAGAAAAGAAUGCUGCUGCUCAAGUCCUGAUGAGUAACAACGCAGUAAAAUAAAAAUAGCAGCGAUUCAUAAUAAUCACGGAAGCCAUUAUUCAUUUAGACUCCUCAUUUAGACACUGUUGGUGAUUCUCUACGUCCGUAGUCACAGCCGCUCUAGGUUACACGGACGAAAAACAUUGCUGCCAAGUCUGCACCAGUGUGAGCAGUGCCUUGCCCAAGGACACAAAAACAGUGACUGGGGUGAAAGGAGCGAAAACCCUGACUCAACCCUGGCAUUGGCUCAUUACCAAAAGGUGCAGUUCAAUUAUCCGCAGAAGAUAAACACCUAGCAAUUUAGGGUUGCUAAACGACUAAAAAGUCUUUCUUGCAUCAUACAAGCGUAGAUUCAUAACGCCGGUCCCACUGGACGGUGGCCAACCAAUAAGGUGUUGCGUUGGGUGGUUUUAAUCAUACAUUUAACGAUACAAUGCUACUUGAACAGCAGGAGAUACCAAACUAAGCUGUUCUAAAGCAAACCUGUUCUAGCAUCGUGCAGGCUAUUCAUUCAUUCAUGCUGGCUAACUACUGAACAACGUUUGUCAGACUCAUCAAGACGCUCCACGCUCAACAUGCACUUGAUUGAUCAUGUCUGGCCAGCUGAGCGCUCAACGCCACUGUAAGUUUUUUGAUUACUCGCUAAACACAUCAUCAUUGUUUGUUUAAUAAUGUCAUUUCUGUCAUCUAUUUCAAUGAUUAUUUUCAAUGCUUAUUUUUAUCCGACAUGAGACGCUAUGUAUGCUAGCAUGUUACAUUAUGUUUUUUUGACAAAUUUAAUUAAUGACUAGCGCAAAAAAAGCCAAAAAACUGAAUUUCAAUUAUAUCUGUUUAUUGAUUCUCAAACCGGAGAAGCAAUUAGCUUAAUUACGUGCCCUGCUAUCUCACCCAGAGUCAGUUGUAGGCUCCAGCAUACCCUCACGACCCCAGUGAGGAUUAGCGACAUGGAAAAAUAAUAGCCGGAUAACCAUAGAUUAAAAUUGAAAUGCUUGAAUAAUGGGUGGAGUAGUGGUUAGCAUGACUGCUUCAUGGGCGUGUAGGCUGGGUUCAAAUACCUCUGUUGGGUAGCACAAAUGUAAGAAUGUUCUUGGCUUUUUCUAUGUUUGCCUAUUAAGAGAGUAACAAAAAAGAAGAGACUAAAUCACUUUGGUUUGUUUUUUUACUUCUUCGUCCCAUUUAAUUAUGAUUUUAUAAAUUUAUAUUUUUCUAUUUUAAAAUUUUUCUAUUUUUCUAUUUAUUUAACUUGCGCUUAACUUAUUUAUUUACAUUUUUAUAUUAUUUUAUAAAUUAAAAGUUAUUAUUAUUAGGGAUUUUCUGAUCAGGAUUUUAUGCUGCCGAUACCGAUAAUCCAUGACUGAAAUACUCCGAUACCGAUCACAUACAUGCAGUGUAAAUGUUUAAAUGUACUACUCGCUAUAUUAGAAGCCACCAAUGUUUUACAAAAUGAAAAUGAAAAUUUUAAGCCAAACAAAGCCAAUAUGCUUUAUAGUCUUCUCACAUUAUUAACUGAAAACCUGAAUGAAACGCAGGUUUAUCCACCUCUGCUGGGUCCCUCCAGCCGCAUCCGAUGCAACCGACUUCCUCUCUUGAGCUCUUCCUCUCUUCCUCCUUCCUCGUGUUUUUUGCAGCUGUUGUUGCUGUUGUUAUGGUUCGCUCGUGAGAACUUGACCUUGUUCAUUUUGGUGAGAGUCUUCAUUCCUUCAGAAAGGGCUAAGGUAAUGGGGUCUCCGCAGCUGAAUAGUUGGAUUGUUUGACAGGAAGCUGAUGACUUCCCCUUCAGCAGUGUAGUGCAUCAGUUGUGACUUACCCCCCUCCACUGGUCGGAACGUAGUUCUGGUGAGUUGGUGGGGCCAAUUAAAAGUUUGGCUUCUCAAAACAAUAUGAGUUCAAAAGAGCAAUACUUUCUAUCGCUGUCCAUUGUUGGGGUACGCUUAGAGUGGAUGACAGUGAUCUUGAAAGGUGACAAAGGUGACUUGACAAAGUGCUUCCAAUCUACAGAAUGACUGAAGGACGUAAGGCCAGCCAAUGAGCUUCUCCCAACUUCAUGUCAACAUGUCAAUAUCGGGAUUUAAGGAUAACGGGAGCACCCAGUUGGACCCCCCGUCUGUCUCCUACAGCCAUACAGUCAAAACACUAUUCAGGACACAUUUGGACACCAGGCCCACAAGUACAGCAGGAAAUGUCCACGUCAAGUCAGCCAGAGUGGAUUUGUCCAAAGUCCAAACUAUCUUCUUGCUGGGUUUGACUCUGACCUUCAUCAUCAUGGCUUCCUACGCCCUGAUGUGGGACAAGAAACCACUGCUGACCCCUCCGCCCUUUCAGCAUCACGUUGUCAACGUCCCGACCACCAACAGCACAGCAACGACAACAACGACAGCAGCGACGACAACGGUGGUAGAGGUCUCCUCACAAAAGACUUCAGUAGACAUGAAGAAGCUGGUGAGGAGGAUCCAGUCCAAAUUAGAGUAUCCACCCAGGAAGCUUCCUGAUGAGAAGGACAUCAUCAAGACGGACCCUCAUUUGUUCUCUGUGAUUCCACGCAGCUUCCUGCCAGGGAUCAAAAGCCCUUGUUGGUAUGAGGAGUUUUCGGGAAAAACCACUGAUGAUCCGUACAGGAAUAACUACUUCGCCAUGUAUUCCAAGAGCUUCAGCAACACGUGUGAAACGCUACGGUCCAACUUCCGCCAGCAGCUGCACCGACAAGACGGAAAACUUCUCCGCCUUCGCUGCCUGCCUUAUUUUUACAUCGUCGGCCAACCCAAGUGCGGCACGACAGACUUGUUCUUCAGGCUGACGCAGCAUCCCGAGCUCAAUUUUCUGGUCAUGAAGGAGCCGCACUGGUGGACCAGGAAACGCUUUGGUUACAUCAACUACCAAAAGUUCUUCAUGAAAAGUUCCCCAGUGGAAGACUACCUGGAUCUGUUUGACUUGGCAGCCCAAAAAAUCCAAGCAUCAAGCAGCGGAAAGUCGUCCCCUCUGCAGCUCAUAACAGGCGAAGCCAGUGCAUCCACCAUGUGGGACAACCAAGUGUGGUUCUAUCUCAGCGGCAAAGAGGAGGAGACAGAACCCCCUUUCCUGGUCCAGGACUUCAUCCACCUGAUUCAGCCUGGUGCCAAAAUCAUCACGAUACUACGAGAUCCGACAGAGAGGCUGUAUUCCGACUACCUGUAUUUCAAUUUCAUGAAGACAGUAAACAAGUCAGCUGAGGACUUCCAUCAGAAGGUCGUAGAAGCUGUGCAGCUCUUCCAGUCCUGUCUUUUGGGGAAGUCUCUUCGGACCUGUGUGUACAGCCCCAGCCUGGCCAAAUCAAUGCAUGUGCAUCUAAACCCGGGGCUCUACGUUGUUUACCUGCUGGACUGGUUGAACGUUUUCCCCAGGGAGCAGAUCUUGGUUCUCCGCCUGGAGGACUACUCUGCAAACCUUCAGGGGACGUUGGAGAGUGUGUUCUCCUUUCUGAAUGCAUCUCCUGUAUCUCCAAAAGUGGCGGCUGAGCUGACUAAAAACCCGCCGUCCAAUGCCCGGCGGUUAGGCGACAGGAACCUCGGCCCCAUGCUGCCGUCCACCAGGAAUCUCCUUCGGGAGUUUUACCAACCUUUUAACAGGAAGCUGGCCGCUGUGCUAAACAACACCGCCUUCCUGUGGAGGGACGAUGACGUCUUACGGGAGGAAGACACAUGAAAAAAAAAAGACAAUCGGUCAAUCAGGACUGAAUUAAGGGAAUUAAAUUCAUUGGGUGUGGUACUGGUCAGAAAUCACUCCAGGGUGUCGGGUCAGGACAGCAAUUGUGUAAAGCAGCUCGGCAAUCCAGAGAGCUUGUUAUCGCUUUAUGAAACGUCUUUGUUCUGCUGCCACAUCAUCAUCAUCAUCAGCAGCAUCAUCA